rnacentral:rRNA from 1 species
CCUACGGGUGGCAGCAGUGGGGAAUAUUGCUCAAUGGGCGCAAGCCUGAUGCAGCCAUGCCGCGUGUGUGAAGAAGGCCUUCGGGUUGUAAAGCACUUUCAGCGGGGAGGAAGGCGUUAAGGUUAAUAACCUUGUCGAUUGACGUUACCCGCAGAAGAAGCACCGGCUAACUCCGUGCCAGCAGCCGCGGUAAUACGGAGGGUGCAAGCGUUAAUCGGAAUUACUGGGCGUAAAGCGCACGCAGGCGGUCUGUCAAGUCGGAUGUGAAAUCCCCGGGCUCAACCUGGGAACUGCAUUCGAAACUGGCAGGCUAGAGUCUUGUAGAGGGGGGUAGAAUUCCAGGUGUAGCGGUGAAAUGCGUAGGGAUCUGGAGGAAUACCGGUGGCGAAGGCGGCCCCCUGGACAAAGACUGACGCUCAGGUGCGAAAGCGUGGGGAGCAAACAGGAUUAGAUACCCUUGUAGUC